GAUGAACGCUGGCGGCGUGCCUAAUACAUGCAAGUCGAGCGAACGGACGAGAAGCUUGCUUCUCUGAUGUUAGCGGCGGACGGGUGAGUAACACGUGGAUAACCUACCUAUAAGACUGGGAUAACUUCGGGAAACCGUAGCUAAUACCGGAUAAUAUUUUGAACCGCAUGGUUCAAAAGUGAAAGACGGUCUUGCUGUCACUUAUAGAUGGAUCCGCGCUGCAUUAGCUAGUUGGUAAGGUAACGGCUUACCAAGGCAACGAUGCAUAGCCGACCUGAGAGGGGGAUCGGCCCAACUGGAACUGAGACACGGCCCAGACUCUUACGGGAGGCAGCAGUAGGGAAUCUGCGGCAAUGGGCGAAAGCCUGACGGAGCAACGCCGCGGGAGUGAGGAAGGUCUUCGGAUCGUAAAACUCUGUUAUUAGGGAAGAACAUAUGUGUAAGUAACGGUGCAGAUCUGGACGGUACCUAAGCAGAAAGCCACGGCAAAUUACGU
rnacentral:rRNA from 1 species